rnacentral:rRNA from 1 species
GAACGCUGGCGGCGUGCUUAACACAUGCAAGUCGAACGCGAAAGGGACUUCGGUCCUGAGUAAAGUGGCGCACGGGUGAGUAACGCGUAGAUAACCUGUCUUCAUGUCUGGAAUAAUACGCCGAAAGGGGUACUAAUACCGGAUAUUCUUGCUUUUCAUAAGUUAUGCAAGCAAAGGUGGCCUCUGCAUAUGCUACUGCAUGAAGAGGGGUCUGCGUACCAUUAGCUAGUAGGUGGGGUAAUGGCCUACCUAGGCGACGAUGGUUAGCGGGUCUGAGAGGAUGAUCCGCCACACUGGCACUGGAACACGGGCCAGACUCCUACGGGAGGCAGCAGUGAGGAAUAUUGCGCAAUGGGGGAAACCCUGACGCAGCGACGCCGCGUGAGUGAAGGAAGGCCUUCGGGUCGUAAAGCUCUGUCAAGAGGAAAGAAGUGUACAAUGGCUAAUACCUGUUGUAUUUGACGGUACCUCUAAAGGAAGCACCGGCUAACUCCGUGCCAGCAGCGGC